CACUCCUGCGGGAGGCAGCAGUGGGGAAUAUUGGACAAUGGGCGCAAGCCUGAUCCAGCCAUGCCGCGUGAGUGAUGAAGGCCCUAGGGUUGUAAAGCUCUUUCACCGGUGAAGAUAAUGACGGUAACCGGAGAAGAAGCCCCGGCUAACUUCGUGCCAGCAGCCGCGGUAAUACGAAGGGGGCUAGCGUUGUUCGGAUUUACUGGGCGUAAAGCGCACGUAGGCGGACUAUUAAGUCAGGGGUGAAAUCCCGGGGCUCAACCCCGGAACUGCCUUUGAUACUGGUAGUCUUGAGUUCGAGAGAGGUGAGUGGAAUUCCGAGUGUAGAGGUGAAAUUCGUAGAUAUUCGGAGGAACACCAGUGGCGAAGGCGGCUCACUGGCUCGAUACUGACGCUGAGGUGCGAAAGCGUGGGGAGCAAACAGGAGUAGAAACCCCAGUAGUCCCAUGAU
rnacentral:rRNA from 1 species